UACGUAGGGGGCAAGCGUUGUCCGGAAUCAUUGGGCGUAAAGAGCGUGUAGGCGGCCUGAUAAGUCGGCUGUGAAAGUCAAGGGCUCAACCCUUGAAUGCCGGCCGAUACUGUCAGGCUAGAGUCCGGAAGAGGCGAGUGGAAUUCCUGGUGUAGCGGUGGAAUGCGCAGAUAUCAGGAGGAACACCAAUAGCGAAGGCAGCUCGCUGGGACGGUACUGACGCUGAGGCGCGAAAGCGUGGGGAGCGAACAGGA
rnacentral:rRNA from 1 species